AGGUACAAAACCUCAGCGUCUACAGCAAGGAGGUCUACAGUCUAAUGACCAAUGUAUAUUUAUUACCGACCCCUCGUGUGACUCCUCUUCGGCCUCUUCUUUCUUUCUUGUUUCCCCUUCCUCUCGAUCGUGUCUUUUUUUUCCUCAAAAUCUCGGGUUUUUUUUAUUAUCAUCCCAUCAUAUCACACUGACAUUAAAGCAUCUAAUUUCUACAACUAUCACACUAUUAUGUUCGGUCGUGUGUUCAAUACAAAUUCACGUAAAAUAUCGCUCCUCUCCAGAGUCUGGAGUGGACCGAAUGGUGCUCUUGCUGGGAAACAGGCUGAACAGAAAAUGAUUGAUAUCCUAAGAAAUAAAUUUCCAAACGCUCAAACCAUUGAAGUCACAGAUGUCUCAGGAGGUUGCGGGGCAAUGUUCCACAUCAAUGUUGUUGCUUCUGAAUUCAAAGGUCUUAAUACUGUUAAACAACACCGAAUCAUUAAUGAAUCAGACAGACAUUUGUUUCAUCCCAACGUGGCGACUUUUGAUGGAACACGUGGUUACGACAGUUCCUUUCUGGGACAUCCAAGCUCUUUGAAUCCCGGUGACUUUACACUGUUCAUUAGGUGAAACAGUGAAGUGACUCAUAUUAAGAUUCAGAACGCUGAUGAUUUUUAGGAUCUUUAUUAUGGAGGUGAAAAGUUUGCCACACUCUCGGAGCUCGCCCAGUUUUACAUGGAAAAUGGUGGACAAUUGAGAGAAUAAAAAAACGGUCAAGUUAUUGAAUUAAAGUAUCCUCUUGAUUGUGCGGAUCCAACAACCGAAUGGUGGUGCCAUGGACAUUCAUCCGCCUAAGAAGCCGAAAGUUUGAUGUUCGAGCGAGGAAAAAACGAAUCGUUUCUCGACUACGAAUCGCAGAGUAAACCAGGAAACGUUUUAUUGGUGGGAAGAUCAGUAAGUUCAGCAUCUUAAAUACGGCGUUGGUGGCGGUGAGAAAUUUGAUAGUUUGAGCGAUCUGAUAGAGCACUACGAAAAUCAAUUUACAAUGGCUACAAAUUUUGAAAGAAGGUUGGGCUUGAUUGAUCUUGACUGUUUUCAUGUGAGAAGACCAAUUCCUGUGAACUCAACAUUUGAGAUAUUUGAGCGAUAAAGGAACAGAAGUGAACCAAUCUGUGCCAAUAGUUUUGACGAUAAGCACUGCGAAUAAAAAUUGUUUGGAAAAUUUUCUGCUAUAACCAAGGGUAUAUACGCUGGUAAAUCUUUAGCUAUUUUGAGAAAACCAGAAUUUUACGAUCAUUGGAAAGAGGAAAGAUGCGCUCGCCAAUUCGACACAAUCGAUCAGCGGCAUCCAUACGUCAAAAUUAUCUGCGAAUCGAGCGAUUGGCUAGUCGACGAUUGGCUAGAAAGCCGACGCGGUCUUUGCCUUCCAGCUUAGAAAUCCUAUUCAUAAUGAAAACGCUUUGCUUACGCAAGUAAAUUAUUUUAUAACGUUGCUACAAGCAUUUCAAUUGUGUUCCAUAACUCCAUAAUUGAACGAGAAUCUGAAAAAUUUUAACCUUCAAUUCUAUCGAUCAUUUUCGUUUUUCACAAAAUGUUUUUCGACAAUCCAUAAAGAAAGAAAAAAAGAAUUUUUAAACAAGAAUUGUACUUAAAAGAAUCAAAAAAUGUUUUGAUAUUUUAUUCAACAUUUUUCUCGGAAUGCUGAGUACUGUAACUCGUAUAGCACAAAAAUUAUUACCAUCAAUAAAUGUGUGAAUAUUGAUUACAUUA